CGAAUCGGAUAUGCGUGAGCAAUCACGCGAAACUCGCCUGUAAUCCCGGCAUCACCGCAUCGCGGUGUGGCGACUCUCUCAAACACUGCACAAUGAUGCAGCACUCUC
ncrna:unclassified sequences DTF3577 RNA